AUCGCUUCUCGGCCUUUUGGCUAAGAUCAAGUGUAGUAUCUGUGGCAAGACCGACUAGGAAGGAUAAACUCGAAGAUCGGACUGUGGAGCUCCAGAAAGCUCACGAUGGAAGGCAAGGCACUUGUCCUGCGGAGUGAAGUUUUGCCUGUGCUCCAAUAUACCGCACAGGCCUGGCCUCCCCAU